UGUCACAAUAUUCAUUGUUAUUAAAGUGA
rnacentral:sRNA from 1 species